rnacentral:rRNA from 1 species
UGGCGGACGGGUGAGUAAUGUCUGGGAAACUGCCUGAUGGAGGGGGAUAACUACUGGAAACGGUAGCUAAUACCGCAUAACGUCGCAAGACCAAAGAGGGGGACCUUAGGGCCUCUUGCCAUCGGAUGUGCCCAGAUGGGAUUAGCUAGUAGGUGGGGUAACGGCUCACCUAGGCGACGAUCCCUAGCUGGUCUGAGAGGAUGACCAGCCACACUGGAACUAAGACACGGUCCAG